UAGUGAACAAGGCAGCAACAAUGUUGGCCACCUAAUAGCUGUCAAGUCUCAAGAUUGAUUUGGCGGCACUUUAGGAAUGUGUGGGAGGAGUGCAGGUGUGGGG
rnacentral:lncRNA from 1 species